rnacentral:rRNA from 1 species
AGAGAGUACAAGCGUUAAUCAGAAUUACUGGGCGUAAAGCGCGCGUAGGUGGAUACUUAAGUCGGAUGUGAAAGCCCUGGGCUUAACCUGGGAAUUGCACCCGAUACUGGGUAUCUAGAGUAUGGUAGAGGGAAGUGGAAUUUCCGGUGUAGCGGUGAAAUGCGUAGAUAUCGGAAAGAACACCAGUGGCGAAGGCGGCUUCCUGGACCAAUACUAACACUGAGGUGCGAAAGCGUGGGGAGCAAACAGGGAUUAGAGACCCUGGUAGUCCACGCCGUCAACGAUGAGAACUAGCUGUUGGAAGGUUUACCCCUUUUAGUAGCGAAGCUAACGCGUUAAGUUCUCCGCCUGGGGAGUACGGCCGCAAGGUUA